rnacentral:rRNA from 1 species
AAGCAUAUCAAUAAGCGGAGGAAAAGAAACCAACAGGGAUUGCCCCAGUAACGGCGAGUGAAGCGGCAACAGCUCAAAUUUGAAAUCUGGCUCUCGGGCCCGAGUUGUAAUUUGUAGAGGAUGCUUUUGGUGAGGUGCCUUCCGAGUUCCCUGGAACGGGACGCCAUAGAGGGUGAGAGCCCCGUCUGGUUGGACACCGAUCCUCUGUAAAGCUCCUUCGACGAGUCGAGUAGUUUGGGAAUGCUGCUCUAAAUGGGAGGUAUAUGUCUUCUAAAGCUAAAUACCGGCCAGAGACCGAUAGCGCACAAGUAGAGUGAUCGAAAGAUGAAAAGAACUUUGAAAAGAGAGUUAAAAAGUACGUGAAAUUGUUGAAAGGGAAGCGCUUGUGACCAGACUUGGGCUUGGUUGAUCAUCCGGGGUUCUCCCCGGUGCACUCUUCCGGCUCAGGCCAGCAUCAGUUCGCCCUGGGGGAUAAAGGCUUCGGGAAUGUGGCUCUCUCCGGGGAGUGUUAUAGCCCGCUGCGUAAUACCCUGUGGCGGACUGAGGUUCGCGCAUUCGCAAGGAUGCUGGCGUAAUGGUCAUCAGUGACCCGUCUUGAAACACGGACCAAGGAGUCGUCUUCGUAUGCGAGUGUUCGGGUGUCAAACCCCUACGCGAAAUGAAAGUGAACGCAGGUGAGAGCUUCGGCGCAUCAUCGACCGAUCCUGAUGUUAUCGGAUGGAUUUGAGUAAGAGCAUACGGGGCCGGACCCGAAAGAAGGUGAACUAUGCCUGUGUAGGGUGAAGCCAGAGGAAACUCUGGUGGAGGCUCGCAGCGGUUCUGACGUGCAAAUCGAUCGUCAAACAUGGGCAUGGGGGCGAAAGACUAAUCGAACCUUCUAGUAGCUGGUUUCCGCCGA